rnacentral:lncRNA from 1 species
AUGGCCAGCACAGAAAAGGACAUCAUUGGGCACUGUUUCUGGUGCAGUGGGAACAGGGACCUGGGAAAUGUCAGCUGUGACCAGAGAAGGUGGAAGGCUGGAGAUGCAGGAGAUGAAGAUGGAGAGAUGCAGGUGUUUAAAAAAAGAAGAACAAAGACCUGGCAGUCUGGGGAGUCCUGGGCCAUUAAUGGGAGCAUGAGUUUGCCCGAAUCUAUCCGGCCAGCAUUUUAGGCAAGCGUAACUUGAAAAUAUCCAAAGAAAACCAAUAAGGGUCAUGUAGAAAGCUUGGAAUAGCAAAUGCUUUCAACUCUAGCAGACACCUCUUCCACCUGCCAGCCACUCCCAUCCCAUUCUCCUCUGGAAAUAAAGGAUAUCCUCUUUUAAAUAUGUCA